UCGAAUUCAAGUGCAACGCUUUACCGCUCUGGUAACUGAUGACGUCAAAAUUGCAAUGGGGAGCUGGUUUGCUCUCGUGCCAGGAGAGCUUGUCCGAUAAACUACAUCAAUAUCCAAUGAGACUGCGUGUCGAUGUAAACAAAAAACAUCAGUUCCCAUAAUUCUUCUGAGCUUAUGAUGAAGUGUUUCAGUCCUGAAAACGAAGGAAAUAUACAGACAUGUAAUGUAAUGUGUACAACUUUAUUUACUUUAUCCUAUAGAUUCCCUCCAAAGUAAUCUAGAGCAACAGAUAGAAGCUCAACUAUUCGAAGCAGGAGACCGAAGAGAAAAAAGGAAGAGAGAUGAUAUUACAGCUGCAGAAAAGGAAAUAAUUGAAACGCAGAAGAAAUAUAUUAAUGUACUGUGUGAAAUAUGUGACUUGUAUAAGCAAUCAGUUGCAAAUCAGACUGCUGUCAUAGAAAAUCAAAAUAUAAUUAUUAAUUUAUUAAAAAAAUAAAUCAUGCAUUUCAAAUA